UACGUAGGGGGCAAGCGUUGUCCGGAUUCAUUGGGCGUAAAGAGCGUGUAGGCGGCCAGGUAGGUCGGCUGUGAAAACUGGAGGCUCAACCUUCAGAGGUCGACCGAAACCAUCUGGCUAGAGUCCGGGAGAGGAGAGUGGAAUUCCUGGUGUAGCGGUGAAAUGCGCAGAUAUCAGGAAGAACACCCGUGGCGAAAGCGGCUCUCUGGAACGGUACUGACGCUGAGACGCGAAAGCGUGGGGAGCGAACAGG
rnacentral:rRNA from 1 species